rnacentral:rRNA from 2 species
UCGAACGGGAUUUAGUAAACGGAAGCUUCGGUGGAAGAUUACUAAUGAGAGUGGCGAACGGGUGAGUAACGCGUGAGCAACCUGCCUAUGACAGUGGGAUAGCCUCGGGAAACCGGGAUUAAUACCGCAUAAAAUCGUAGAAACACAUGUUUUAACGGUCAAAGAUUUAUCGGUCAUAGAUGGGCUCGCGUCUGAUUAGCUAGUUGGUGAGAUAACAGCCCACCAAGGCGACGAUCAGUAGCCGGUCUGAGAGGAUGAACGGCCACAUUGGAACUGAGACACGGUCCAAACUCCUACGGGAGGCAGCAGUGGGGAAUAUUGCACAAUGGGGGAAACCCUGAUGCAGCGACGCCGCGUGAACGAAGAAGGUAUUCGUAUCGUAAAGUUCUGUCCUAUGGGAAGAUAAUGACAGUACCAUAGAAGAAAGCUCCGGCUAAAUACGUGCCAGCAGCCGCGGUAAUACGUAUGGAGCGAGCGUUGUCCGGAAUUAUUGGGCGUAAAGGGUACGCAGGCGGUUUAAUAAGUCGAAUGUUAAAGAUCGGGACUCAACCCCGUAAAGCAUUGGAAACUGAUAAACUUGAGUAGUGGAGAGGAAAGUGGAAUUCCUAGUGUAGUGGUGAAAUACGUAGAUAUUAGGAGGAAUACCAGUAGCGAAGGCGACUUUCUGGA